GAAGUGGAGCGUGAGGAGGAGCUGUGAGGAGGAGUAGCAGUGAACGACCAGGAGGCGGGACAGACAUGAGCGCAGCGCUGCCUCGUCUGCUCCGGCCAACAGCGCUAAGGACCCGGAGAGACAGGAUGCACAUAUCAAUUUGGAAUUCUGCCUCCAAGCCAGAAUUGCAGGAAUGCACCACGUGUUGCAGAAGACUCUUUCACUGCCCUCUGUGCCCCACUCUCAGCCCUACUGUCAAGGCAAAGAUUGAGGAGCAAAUAAAUGGAUACAUUAAAAAUGCUUUGCCUUUCAAAGACAAAAUGAUAUACCGGUGCACUUUCACUGCCCUGUCUGUAACAUGACAGUCAUACAGCGUUGGGAUAUGGCAAGGCAAAUUUUCUCAUGUCAGCAUUCAGGACUGCUCCCCACUGAACUCUCCGAGGAGCCCCAUCUCCCUCUCGAUGUCUUGUCUCCAGUAUCUAAACCAUUUUCUGAAUCUUCAGUAGAACAUUCAUGUGCUCGACCCUCUGUGCUAAAUGAAACUGUGGCUUGUGGAAAGUCCUUGAAAAUGAAACGCCCUCACUGUGGUCUUAGUCUUCUUAAAAAAAACUUCAAGGCUCUCAUGAUGAGGAGGCAUUCAAAUAGAUGUUUGCCUGGCCUGUCAUCUGCAGUGUUUUUGUGUAGAGGGACUUCUUCCUCUUUGUUUUUCAGUUUGCAGAGGACAUGGAGCUCUUUUUAAAAGCUUGUGCUGAUGAGCAGGGACUACGGGUCAAUGCGAUGUUUGACAUUUAAUGGACAGAUGAAGGCACUGGCUGUUUGUUUGUGUUUUUUAUGUGUUGUUUGUUUUUCAGUGUACAGAAUUCCAGUUAAGCUUAUUAUUAAAUAUUCACUUGUUUCCAUGUUAUAGUAAAAAAAAUUAAGUGUAAAUGCAACAGCAUUGUUUGUUGAUAUUAACAUUAAUAUAUUACCCUGUAAUCAAUAAUAUUUUUAUAUAUUUUACGCAUUACCCCUCUGGGCUCUAUCCUGGCCAUUUGUGGCUUGACCUCUCUUUUUUUUUUUUUUUUUUUUGACUGCUACACUGCAGUGGACCAAAAGAAUGAUGCAGGUUUGAUCUUAAGGAUCUAAUACUUCUGUGUGUUUGUGCAUGACAUUGCAACGCAAAUAUGUAUUUGCAAGGUAGACUGAAAUAAAUAAUGACUCAUCAAAUAUUACACAGGCUGCAGUGAAUUUUUGUUGAUACUGGCUAAUGAGAUUUGAGUUUCCCAGUCAAACUUAGCUUUGAAGCACAUGCUAAAAACACUUUUACUCUUGUACAUUUCAUAAAAAGACACCAUAGCCAAAAUAUUAACAAAAUAUAUAUUAAUAAAAAAUUCAAAGCUGCAGCACAU